rnacentral:rRNA from 1 species
CAGUCGCCGCGGGAAUACGAAGGGUGCAAGCGUUAAUCGGAAUUACUGGGCGUAAAGGGUGCGUAGGCGGUUGUUUAAGUCUGUUGUGAAAUCCCCGGGCUCAACCUGGGAAUGGCAAUGGAAACUGGACGGCUAGAGUGUGUCAGAGGAUGGUGGAAUUCCCGGCGUAGCGGUGAAAUGCGUAGAGAUCUGGAGGAAUACCGGUGGCGAAGGCGGCCCCCUGGACAAAGACUGACGCUCAGGUGCGAGAGCGUGGGGAGCAAACAGGAUUAGAUACCCCCGUAGUCCCUGUCUCUUAUAA